GCCAAAAAAAACCAUCGGAUCGAGCCCACAGCAGAUCGUUCUCCGCCCCCAACCUGCCCUCCGCACGCCCGAUCCACCCCGUCGCCCCCUCGGCGGCCGAUCCAUCCCUGUGCCUCGGCCGAUCCAAUCCUUCGCCCUCUCGUGCGCUAGGGUUCCUUGAGUCGCCGCCGCACCGGAGCUCCUCGCCCAGCCCCACCUCCUGCCGCUCCACCCACUGCUUCUCCCUCCGCUCGCUGCACUUGCCCUCUCCGCCGCGCCCGCCUUCCCCGAUGGUCGCCCCCUUCCCCGUCGAUCCCGGAGAAUCGGCGCCUUGAGGUUGGGGAACUCGGCAGCCAUGAUCUGAAGGACGUAGGGAAGCCGCCCCCCCUCGCCGGAUACAACCUAGGUUAUUGAGGUGCUACGGGGCUAGAAGCUCAACCAACGAUAGCAGGACGUCCGACCGAUCUGGGCCAGCGUGGAAGGAGAACUCAGCGGCGGCUCGUCCAGCUGUUCUGGGAUAUUUUGGUGAACUCUCCAUAAUGCUGCGCGUAUAGGUGUGUACUAUCCUGACCGCUCACUCCCCUGGGAUCCGAUAAUAAGUUCACAUAGAGUUCGGCCGGCGGUGGCAGCGCCGCCAAUAGUCGUGCGAUUAAGGCUGCACAAUCAGCAGAUUAGAAGACUGAUUUAGCGCUAGGAUCCAUCGCCAUUGGAGGGACUUGACUUCUUUUCAUUCCUUGCGAGAACGGUUCUUGCCAUGAACGACGGGGCUCUCUCUGUGGCCCUGGUCUAAAAGCAAAAAUAGUGAACAAGAUGUGUCUUGCCGUUUGCAGUAUUGGGUACGUACCUUUUGCACUUGCUCCCUAAAGAAACAAUCAGAUAGAUUAACUACAACCCAAAAGCAGCAGCCUGUUACUAUUUUAUAUCAUCUAUUGAUGAUUUGUUUUUUCAGAAUUGCAUUGGCAAGUGAUGAAAAGGUGUAAUGUUCACGGAUUUUUGUUGGGUGAUCUGUUGGUCCGGUUUAAUUUUAGCAGGCAUCUGGGUAUUGUUUAUGAAUUGAUGGCGCACCUUGCUUAAAUCCUACUAACAAUCUUCUCAACACGUGUCAUUGCUUUUUGUUAGAUGCAUUUAACACAUUUAGGAAGGACGUUUCAAGGGCCUCUUUCUCGAUCUGGAGCCCACUGUUAGUAGAUUAUGGCAGGCUGCUCAAAAUAUGUCAUGUUGUUGAAACUUUUUUGUAUUUGCAAUGAUAUUGGUGUUGGACCAUUAGAGUAUAUAUGCCCCGUUGAACGUGGGGGGGUUGGCGAAGGGCGUGUCUGCGGCCGACCUGGAGGUCGUGUUCGGCUCCAUCGGCUGCGUCGCCGGCGUUGAGUUCGUGCGCACCAGCGGCUGUAGCUUCGCCUAUAUCGACUUCCACUGCCUCUCCCACGAGGUCAUGACCAAGUUGUUCUCCACCCUGCUAUGGGUUCUCAUGGUUCCCCUGUCUCGAUUUAUUGGAAUGGCGAUUCGAGAAGGAACAUCAUCUUGUGGAUGGACCAUAGGGCUCUUGACCAAGCCGAGCGAAUUAAUUCUCACAAUUCACCGAUAUUGCAAUUUAAUGGUGGGAGUGUCUCCCCAGAAAUGCAAGCUCCAAAGGUAACCGCUUUUUUCUCCAUGCAUAUGAUUCUCGUAAAUUCCUGAUUCAUUAUUUGUAAAAACCACUAAUGAUGUUGUUGGGCAUCUGAACCAUUGUGUUGAUUGCCAUCUUGUGAGUUAUCACUUCACAAUCCUAGAGGAUAUGGAUAAAUAGUUUUGAAUUAUUUUGUAGUGAGAAGGUCGGUAUACAAGGUUUUAUGGGUAAAGGUAAAUCUGCAAAAAUCUUGGUCUAUGGUAUAUAGAUCAGGUUAUAUUUCCUUGGUAGCAUGGCAGCAGCACCCAAUCAGACCACAACCUCGGCGGGUGUGCUCUGCAAUCUUGGCCACCGUCGGCAGGUACGACCUCCGCCGCCACUGAAAGCUACCCCUCCUCAUCACCAUCAACGCCGGUGAGCUCUCCCUCUGCUCUCGCCGCUACCCAGUUCCAUCCACUAUCUUCCACAAUAUUGUUGCGACUUUGUAAUGACUAGCCCAAUGUUCUUUAAUGCUGUUAUGUAUUUUUGUGAGUCGAUGAUUUUCUUUCAAAUCUACAAAUGGACACGUUUGUCUAACCAUUAUGUAAAAGGCUGGAAUCCAUAAUAUGUGAAAUUCCGACACAGUUGCAUGAAAAAGUGAGUAUUGAGUAGGGAUGUAAUUCUCGCCGAUUCAAAUAUCAGAAUGUGUUCCAGAGACAUAACAAAACCAUCCUGAAUCUUACGUUUUUAGCAUGCUGAGAUCUGCGCUACCGUAUAUACUUCUAAAUUACAUGGUAGAGAUUUUGAAUAUGGGCACCUGAUCUUUUAUCUUAUAAUAUAUCAGAUGUUCCUGGUCAGCAUCAAGGAAUUGUUUUGAGACUUGUAUCCAUUUUUCCCUGGUAAAAUCGAUGACCGUCCGUGUUGGUGACCUAUUGAUCUUUUAAUUUCUAUAUUCGCAAAAAAAAGAUCUUCUAAUUUAUAAAGAUGUCUCUGACUUGUUCACAUGCCAAUAAAUAUAAGCUGCAUCAAGUGAGCUUUCCUGUCAAUAAGUAGCGACACUUGUAGAGGCGACUUGGAUCAGGGAGCAUAUGGAGCGACACUUGCAGAGGCGAUGUCAGCGGCUGUCGAGUGCUGACCCGCCCGUUGGCUACCUCUGAGAGUGGCACAUGGUACUGAAUCAACGCCAAUUCCCUCGCCAUGCCCCUUCACUGGUAAUGACCCAGGCUCCACUCAUCUCUGCUCCACUAGAUGCACUUUCCUCCCUUAGGCUUUCAUUUUUUUAGAGCUGCACUUUCUCCGCCUCGUUAAGCAAGUGAUAUACAAAGUGGAGCAAGAAUUAACACCAUGGAAGAGGAGGAAUACAACGUUUUGUGGUACGUGACAUAUCCGAUGAAAUGUAGUGCAGCCAGGUACUACGUAUUUUAAAUUUUGCAUGAGGGCCGCCGCCCACAUACCACGUCCCCGAUCCUCGCGAGAGGUAUCACUCCUAUCCCCUCGCCGUCUCACCUUCCUCCUGCGCAUUACUUUUUUUUGGCUCACUUGCAGUUGUUUUGGUUCAUCAUUGGUCUAAAAAAAGUACUACAUUGUUACUGAUGAGAAAACUUCUGUGAUAUUGUGAGGCGAAGUAUUUAACUAGUAAGUGUCUGAUGCCCUGAUGUCUUACUUUAAAUCCAUGUUACACGCAGUAGUAGGACUUCAUAAUAGGAUGGGAGCAACCUGCAUCUUUGGAAUGUACUGAACUAAUUUGAUGAAAAAUAACUAUGUACUUUUGAACUGAAUACGCUACAGCAACUGUCGUCAGCAUUGACUACGCCACUGUCAAAUGCAUGUUUGUUUAUUCAUAAUGAUUUCUUAAUCCCUUUAGUUAGAAGAAUCAAAAGCAGUUAAGCACCUAAGCUCGUAAUUCUGCAUUUUUCAUUGUAGUCCCUUUUUUAUCAGAUUGCGCAAUGUCAAUGGUCUCUGUACUCUGAAGAGUCAAGAGUACAUUGUUACUAACUAACAAGGCUCUGUUAUGCACUUAUGCUUCGAGGCGAAGAAGUAUUUACCUAUUGAGUUGUUGAUCAUUUAUUUUGACUUAGACUCUACAUGCAACCAUUUCAUACCAUUUAGCUGCAUUAACUUGGGCAUAAUAUAGCAUCUUCCGUUCAAUUUUCUUUUCCUGUUUUUUGCGAGCUUUAAAACCUUGAGAUACUCAUCGGUGCAUAUCUGAAAAUUCAGGUACUACACAAAGUGGAAUUUGCGCCGGUGUCAAGAGAACAAGUACAGGUUCCUCAUGUCAUGCCUAUAAGUUUCACUCCAAAUAAUAAAGUGUCCUCAAGGGUCGUACUAAAAAAAGAACUACAUCAGCAAGUUGAUUCAAUAAUCCAUCCUCUGUUUUGCCCCUCGUUGGUUAGUUAUUCAGUUAUGGGCCGGGGUGGGAGUGGGAGUAUUGAUGGCUGUUUGUUCUUCACAAAGUUUUGGGUGAAAGAGCAAAUUGGCAGCAAUUAGUGAGAUCCUACUGGUGGUGGUUUGCGAGUACACGUGAAUAGGAAAUCAGAUGAGAUCAAAUCUCAUGAUUCCAUCUCGUCCCGGUCCUCGGCGGACGGGGUGUCAGGGUGAGUUGUUCGUUUGUUCGGCCCUCAUUUCGUGGUGUUCAUGAAAUGUGCAACACAUGUACCAUGAAGGGGGUUAUUUAGUUUCAUUUUCUCGAAAUAUACCAUACUCUCUCCAUAUCAAAAUAUAUUCUAAAAUAUAAGGCAUUUUUUAUUGUUCAUAAAUCUCUCAUAAAAUAUUUAGUCCAUGGUUACAAAUCAUAAUAUACGAAAGUGAGUUUGAAUAUGGAUAUAAGAGUGUCUAUUUUAUGUACUUUAAAUUAUGCUUUAUUUGACUAAUUAUAGGUCAAAGAUUAUUAACAGCGACUAACACAAAUACUGGCAUUGCACUACGUGCAUAUCAACAUUUAAAAAAUAUUAAGUGCUAAUGUACAUUAUUAUGAUUCUUAACAGAGGAAUGAGUGUGAAGCUCAAGACCCCAUUUAAUGGAGCCGUCUAUGAUGCAUGCGAUGAGGUCUUAUUAUUGAUGAUGCCAUGUACUACAUUUUGUUUGCAUAAUCCAUCACCUAGCAUGUAUUUGUUAUAACCGAGCACCGCAACGAAUCUGUUAUUUACCUUAGGAGGGUAAGAAAAAACACAAUCAAUGAUAUUAUACAUAAUUCUAGACAUUGUUUUAGAGUAUGUUCUGAAGUAUAUUUUUCUUUCAGUAAAUGUUGGAAAUGUCUAUGUACUUUUUUCUCCCAAUAUGUUAUGGUCAUCUUCCUGCUAUGCAUGUAAAUUUCAUGGCCAGCUUAGCAGCUGGUGGUUGGUGAUCCUUUCUACUUCCUCGCCGGCUCGAUAAAUCUCCCGGUUUCCUUCUCCUACCACUCUUCCUCCCUUGUGCUCUGUAACUUGGCCAUUGAUGUGGAUGUUAGUAAUUAGAUGGUGAUAUUUGUUUUAUAGAAAUACUUAUUUUUUUGCGGGUGUUUAGAAAUACUUGUUAGUUGCACAGAUGGAUCCUGCAAGGAAUAAUUUUACAAUGGAAAUGCAUAUCUAUUGAAUUGAUGACUAAACAAGUUUGCGGGCACAUCUAUGAAAAUACAGGCAAAUACAGACAUAGGUUUAAGGGUUCUCAUUCAUUUAAAUCUCAAUGUUGAGAGAAGCCGAUCUCUGGAUAUGAGUAUUUUCUUCCCUGUUUGUGUGAUUGUUUAAUUGAAUGGAUAACUGUGUCUCCUGAAUAUUGUUCCAUGUAAUUGUUUUAAAUCUACCGAAUUAGUUAUCUAAAUCAGUUGAUAUUUUGCAAAGCUUCAAGCUUUAGUUUUUGCACUUCAUGACAUCAAUUGUUUGUGCAGAUUCAAGAUUUAUUUCUGUACAUAGCAGUGAUUAGUGGAUUACUGUCACACGCUCCUGUUGUCAUCCAUGUCUCCUCAGGUGCCUUAGGUUUGUGAUGCGAAAGUUGUCUUACAUAUGUAAAUUGUUCUGUUUUUCUUUCGCCAAAACAUUAAUAAGCCCACGAUACAUUUUGCUUCUUUUUUAUCUGAUGUCCAUUUGUAGACUAAGUGCUUUAUUUAUGAUAGUGAAUUUCUGGCGUACAUGUGAAUAUCUCAUGUAUAUACAAUCAGUACACUCACCUGAACGAGGAUGGCGGCGAGCAGAGCGGGGUUGCGUCUUGUCCUUCUUGCGUUGAAGGUCCGGUGCACCCAUGGGUGUGCCUUUGCUGGUUUCUGACUGUCACAAAGAAGUCGGAGCUGCGGACGGCGAGGCGACUGCGGCAACGAUGACUCUAUGAGGACAGUUUUCAGCAAGCGGUGCUCCCCGAAUGUUGCGUUGAACUACGUCGUUGCGUGGCUUGCAACCUUCUCCUAUGAAGCCCGUAUGCAAAAUUGAAACUGUCAUGUCCUAGGUGUUGUGCUCGACUAUUCAUUGUUGCUCUGUGGCUCCUUGCUUCCUCUCCACAGUUAUAUCGUUUUUUGUGAUGUAAUCUUGUUAGUAGUCGGGUCAUCCACGCGUGCCACUUCUGAAGUUUGUAGUCUAGGUUAGAUACAUCCGUAUGUAGACAAAUUGAAGACAAGUAAUAUGGAUAGGGGGGAGUAUAUUAUUUGACUCAAGCACUCACAACCAACGCACUACACUCAUUCACGUGAAAAACAAUCGUAUUUUGAUCAAUAUCCCUAUGUAAGUUUGUUGUUCCGAGGCAAUCACGUAUGAAUUGAA